GUGCUUGCUUUGGCAGCACAUAUACUAAAAUUGGAAUGAUACACAGAAGAUUAGCAUGGCCCCUGCACAAGGAUGAUAUGCAAAUUUGUGAAGCAUUCCAUAUUUUU
rnacentral:snRNA from 1 species